rnacentral:rRNA from 1 species
UGCGUAGGCGGCUCUUUAAGUCAGUGGUGAAAUCUUGCCGCUUAACGGUAAAUUGCCAUUGAUACUGAAGAGCUUGAGUACAGUUGAGGUAAGCGGAAUGUGUAGUGUAGCGGUGAAAUGCUUAGAUAUUACACAGAACACCAAUUGCGAAGGCAGCUUACUAAACUGUUACUGACGCUGAUGCACGAAAGCGUGGGGAGCGAACAGGAUUAGAUACCCUGGUAGUCCACGCCGUAAACGAUGCUCACUCGCUGUUUGCGAUACACAGCAAGCGGCCAAGCGAAAGCAUUAAGUGAGCCACCUGGGGAGUACGAUCGCAAGGUUGAA